rnacentral:rRNA from 1 species
CCUACGGGAGGCAGCAGUGAGGAAUAUUGGUCAAUGGGCUUACGCCUGAACCAGCCAAGUCGCGUGAGGGAAGACUGCCCUAUGUGUUGUAAACCUCUUUUGUCAGGGAGCAAUUGGCGCUACGUGUAGCGUUAUCGAGAGUACCUUAAGAAACAGCAUCGGCCAACUCCGUGCCAGCAGCCGCGGUAAUCCGGAGGAUGCGAGCGUUAUCCGGAUUAUUUGGGUUAAAAGGGUGCGUAGGCGCAAUGCCAAGUCAGCGGUAAAAUCGUGGGGCUCAACCUCGGUCCGCCGUUGAAACUGGCGUUCUUGAGUGGGCGAGAAGUAUGCGGAAUGCGUGGUGUAGCGGUGAAAUGCAUAGAUAUCACGCAGAACUCCGAUUGCGAAGGCAGCAUACCGGCGCCCAACUGACGCUGAAGCACGAAAGCGUGGGUAUCGAACAGGAUUAGAUACCCCAGUAGUC